GAAGGUGUAGCUCACUGGUAGAGCAUCUGCUUUCCAUGCAGAAGGUCCCAGGUUCAAACCCUAUUAAUAAUAUAUUCCCUCA